AUUCAAGAUCCAUGCAUGCAGUUGUUGAA
rnacentral:piRNA from 1 species